rnacentral:rRNA from 1 species
GGUCAAGCGGAAAAAGGCACAUGGUGGAUGCCUUGGCAUCAAGGGCCGAAGAAGGGCGUGGCAAGGCUGCGAAAAGCCUCGGUGAGCUGUCGAGCAAGCUUAGCCGGGGAUACCCGAAUGGGGCAACCCGCUCAGGUAAAACCUGAGCACCCCCAGCUGAACACAUAGGCUGGGAGGAGGUAAGCAGGGGAAGUGAAACAUCUCAGUACCCUGAGUAAAGGAGAUUAUUCCCUGAGUAGUGGCGAACGAAAGGGGAAAAGCCCAAACCUUAUAAGCUAAGUGGCUCUGGGGCCUAAGCUUAUAGGGAGUUGAAAGGCAGACAGGAUCUAGCCCAGGAUAGGUCAAGGAGUUACAAACCGAAGCCUAGUUGAAGGACUCUGGAAAGGGCAACCAUAGAGGGUGACAGUCCCGUAAAUGAAAGACGGAGGCUCCUUGUCUGUACUUGAGUACCACGGGACACGAGGAAUCUUGUGGGAAGCUGCUCUGACCACAGGGCAAGGCUAAAUACCCUUGAUGACCGAUAGUGAACAAGUACCGUGAGGGAAAGGUGAAAAGAACCCCGGGAGGGGAGUGAAAUAGAAUCUGAAACCGUGUGCCGACAAGCAGUCAGAGGUCGCUUCGGCGACUAAUGGCGUGCCUAUUGAAGAAUGAGCCGGUGAGUUGAUCUAUGUGGCUGGUUAAGCAACUUUCGUUGUGAAGCCGAAGCGAAAGCGAGUCCUAAUAGGGCGUUAUGGUUGCAUGGAUCAGACCCGAAGCCGGGUGAGCUACCCAUGGCCAGGGUGAAGCCUCGAUAGAAUCGGGGUGGAGGCCCGAACCUGUCAGUGAUGCAAAACUGUAGGAUGAGCUGUGGGUAGAGGUGAAAUGCCAAUCGAACCCGGUGAUAGCUGGUUCUCCCCGAAAUGCAUUGAGGUGCAGCCUCAGAUGUUAGCUAGUGGAGGUAGGGCACUGGAUGGACUAGGUGGGAGAAAUCCUGCUAACUCCAACCAAACCACGAAUGCCAUUAGCCAAAAUCUGGGAGUGAGACUGCGGGGGAUAAGCUCCGUAGUCGAGAGGGAAACAGCCCAGACCAUCAGCUAAGGUCCCUAAGAACGGACUAAGUGGGCAA